AUCCAUAAUUUGCUCUGCAUAGUGAAUCUUAGAGAUUAACCGAGGUCUCCAAAUGAGGCGUAACCUCACAAACAAAACUGGUCAAUGGGAGAGAAAGGGAAACAGAAGCUUCCCUCUCUUCUGGCAAAGUAAAAUUAUUUGAAAAUCCUAAGACACGUCUUUCAUUUCCUUUUAAUGGUUUCCUCUUUAAGCUGGUCCUCUCUAUAGGCAUAAACAAAAAGGAUUUUUGACCAGUAUUAACAAGCUAAGAGGGACUGACUUUCUGCAAUGAGUCCUUGAAUGGGUACAUAGGAAAUGUAAGGAUCUUUAUCAUUUUCCUCCAAAUCUCAUUACUGUUAUUUGUAAGUAAAGAUUGUGAAAAAUGCACAAAAAGUAAGAAACUCAACAGGUGUCAGAUUUGGCACCUUGGGACCAGACAACUCUGUCUAUAUGUACUGCUUGAGGUAUGUCAGCUGUCCAAGGGAAGGGAUUAUUCCGCUCUGCUCUGUUCUGUUGUGGCCUCACCUUGAGUACUGUGAGCAGGUUUGGGCACUACAGUAUGAGCACACAAAACUGUUGGAGAGUGUCCAAAGGAAGACUACAAAGGCGGAGAAGGGUCUAGAGGGCAAGACAUAUGAGGAUUGUCUGAAGAUGUUUGGUUUGUCCAGCCCAGAGCAGAGCAGGCUGAGGGGAGGCCUCAUGAUGGCCUUCAGCUCCCUCACGAGGGGAGCGGAGGGGCAGUCUCUGAGCUCUGCUCUCUGGGGAUAGCGAAAGGACCUGAGGGAAUGGCAUGGAGCUGGGACAGGGGAGGGUCAGGCUGGGUGUUAGGGAAAGGAAACGGUUCUUCACCGAGAUUGUAUUUGGGCACUGGAACAGGCUUCUCAGGGCUUCGGUCACAGCACCAAGCCUGCCAGAGUUCAAGAAGUGUUUGGACAACACUCUCACAUGUAUUGUCUUAUUUUUGGGUGGUCUUGCAUGGAGCCAGGAGUUUGACUCAAUGAUCUUUUUGGGGUACCUCCAGUUCAGGAUAUUCCAUGAUUUUAUUAUUCUAUUAACAGCAAAAUGGUAUCUUCUGACGGCAAAAGUAGACUGGGCUGGAAUCGAGACAAAUAGACUUCUGCCGAGACAAUGGCCCUGCUGUCCAUGUCUAGGAGUACAGUUUGGCUCACCAGUGUGGCGUUUCUUGGCAAGGACUCAAGCAAAUAAGAGCCCAAGCAGCCUGAAACUGAUGGCUUCAGACUUCUGCCUAUGUAUAUGGAGCUUGGAAAACAAUAAGUAAAUCCAUGUGUCACAACAAAGAAAUCCAAAAGGAUUGAAGUUUAAAGGAUGAGGUUUAAAUAAAGGCAUACAACAGUUUUGAUCUGGAGAAGCC
rnacentral:lncRNA from 1 species